rnacentral:rRNA from 1 species
CCUACGGGGGGCUGCAGUGGGGAAUAUUGCACAACGGGCGCAAGCCUGAUGCAGCCAUGCCGCGUGUGUGAAGAAGGCCUUCGGGUUGUAAAGCACUUUCAGCGGGGAGGAAGGCGUUAAGGUUAAUAACCUUGGCGAUUGACGUUACCCGCAGAAGAAGCACCGGCUAACUCCGUGCCAGCAGCCGCGGUAAUACGGAGGGUGCAAGCGUUAAUCGGAAUUACUGGGCAUAAAGCGCACGCAGGCGGUCUGUCAAGUCGGAUGUGAAAUCCCCGGGCUCAACCUGGGAACUGCAUUCGAAACUGGCAGGCUAGAGUCUUGUAGAGGGGGGUAGAAUUCCAGGUGUAGCGGUGAAAUGCGUAGAGAUCUGGAGGAAUACCGGUGGCGAAGGCGGCCCCCUGGACAAAGACUGACGCUCAGGUGCGAAAGCGUGGGGAGCAAACAGGAUUAGAUACCCGAGUAGUC